CACACACACACACACAUGCAGAGAGAGAGAGCAUCAGGCACCUUUAUAGCGAAGACAUGAAUAACGUUUGAAGAAAGUUCAGGAACGGUUGCGCUUCCUGUCUUCAGCUCCGGCGACAAACACGACUGUAGGAGAAAUAAAGGAGGGAGCAAUCAUAAAGACGAAUCUGAGGAGGAGAAGCGGGGAGCGCGCGCGCGCUCCUGUGACAGUGCUGAAGUCUUCAGAGGACGACGGGGCUUUAUAAGACACUUUCUGUUCUCUCAGUAUUUGUGAGGAUAAUGAAGACAUCAGUCUCCUGCCAUCUGCACUGAUUGAUGCUUUUGUUCAGCAUCAGACUCCUGCGAUCUUCAAUCAGUCAGGCCUGUGGGGGAGAAGGACGUUUGUCACCAGCGCUGCAGUCGGCCCAGUGCUUCCUCAUCUCCACGAGGGGAUCGGAGCGCUCAGCUUUGUGUGAGUUAGUGUUUGGCCGUCGAGGACGCCAGCUGUAGGUCACAGAUAAACUCAGUACCUUCAAACUCCAGCAAAGAAAUGAACUUCACUCCCAAAACACAACUCAGACCACUGAGGACGAGGGGAACACACUCUUCAGACUCAAACUUGGACUUUUUAUAACACACACACACACACUUGCCUCUCUGCUGUCCUCUGGAUCUACACAAUUACAGAUGCACACAUACAACCAUUUAUUGAAACGUACAGGCCAUAAGAGCAGAUUUUUUUUUUUUUUUUUGCCCACUUUUCUAAAUCUCCAAAAAAAAAUUCUCCAAAGGCAUUUAAACACACAUCCAUCUCAGCUUUCCUUAUAAUAAUUUUUAUUUCAGGUUUCUUUUUUGUUAUUUUAGAACAUCAACUGAAUUAAACUAAGCUUAAUGAAAAUGACAAAUAAUGCAUUGACAACUACAGUAAUUAAUGUACAUAUCAACUACAAAUCUAAGUUGCAAAUAAUACAAUCAUUAUAGGAGUAUGUUUUACUAAAAAAAAUAAAAUUUCAGUCUUUCAUGUUUAA